AGCGGGAGCUAUACAUGCAGUCGAACGCUUCUUUUUCCACCGGAAGCUUGCUCCACCGGAAAAAGAAGAAGUGGCGAACGGGUGAGUAACACGUGGGUAACCUGCCCAUCAGAAGGGGAUAACACUUGGAAACAGGUGCUAAUACCGUAUAACAAUCAAAACCGCAUGGUUUUGAUUUGAAAGGCGCUUUCGGGUGUCGCUGAUGGAUGGACCCGCGGUGCAUUAGCUAGUUGGUGAGGUAACGGCUCACCAAGGCCACGAUGCAUAGCCGACCUGAGAGGGUGAUCGGCCACAUUGGGACUGAGACACGGCCCAAACUCCUACGGGAGGCAGCAGUAGGGAAUCUUCGGCAAUGGACGAAAGUCUGACCGAGCAACGCCGCGUGAGUGAAGAAGGUUUUCGGAUCGUAAAACUCUGUUGUUAGAGAAGAACAAGGAUGAGAGUAACUGUUCAUCCCUUGACGGUAUCUAACCAGAAAGCCACGGCUAACUACGUGCCAGCAGCCGCGGUAAUACGUAGGUGGCAAGCGUUGUCCGGAUUUAUUGGGCGUAAAGCGAGCGCAGGCGGUUUCUUAAGUCUGAUGUGAAAGCCCCCGGCUCAACCGGGGAGGGUCAUUGGAAACUGGGAGACUUGAGUGCAGAAGAGGAGAGUGGAAUUCCAUGUGUAGCGGUGAAAUGCGUAGAUAUAUGGAGGAACACCAGUGGCGAAGGCGGCUCUCUGGUCUGUAACUGACGCUGAGGCUCGAAAGCGUGGGGAGCAAACAGGAUUAGAUACCCUGGUAGUCCACGCCGUAAACGAUGAGUGCUAAGUGUUGGAGGGUUUCCGCCCUUUCAGUGCUGCAGCUAACGCAUUAAGCACUCCGCCUGGGGAGUACGACCGCAAGGUUGAUAGAAAUUCGGAGGGGAUAUU
rnacentral:rRNA from 1 species